GUUUUGNNNNNGCUCAGGAUGAACGCUGGCGGCGUGCCUAAUACAUGCAAGUCGAGCGAACAGAUAAGGAGCUUGCUCCUUUGACGUUAGCGGCGGACGGGUGAGUAACACGUGGGUAACCUACCUAUAAGACUGGGAUAACUUCGGGAAACCGGAGCUAAUACCGGAUAACAUUUGGAACCGCAUGGUUCUAAAGUGAAAGAUGGUUUUGCUAUCACUUAUAGAUGGACCCGCGCCGUAUUAGCUAGUUGGUAAGGUAACGGCUUACCAAGGCGACGAUACGUAGCCGACCUGAGAGGGUGAUCGGCCACACUGGAACUGAGACACGGUCCAGACUCCUACGGGAGGCAGCAGUAGGGAAUCUUCCGCAAUGGGCGAAAGCCUGACGGAGCAACGCCGCGUGAGUGAUGAAGGGUUUCGGCUCGUAAAACUCUGUUAUUAGGGAAGAACAAACGUGUAAGUAACUGUGCACGUCUUGACGGUACCUAAUCAGAAAGCCACGGCUAACUACGUGCCAGCAGCCGCGGUAAUACGUAGGUGGCAAGCGUUAUCCGGAAUUAUUGGGCGUAAAGCGCGCGUAGGCGGUUUCUUAAGUCUGAUGUGAAAGCCCACGGCUCAACCGUGGAGGGUCAUUGGAAACUGGGAAACUUGAGUGCAGAAGAGGAAAGUGGAAUUCCAUGUGUAGCGGUGAAAUGCGCAGAGAUAUGGAGGAACACCAGUGGCGAAGGCGACUUUCUGGUCUGUAACUGACGCUGA
rnacentral:rRNA from 2 species